AUGGUCCUCAAACUUGACUUCAAAAAGGCGUUUGAUUCUAUUUCCUGGCCUUCUCUCCUCAAAAUUCUACGCCAUCGGGGUUUUCCAGAUCGCUUCUAUGCCUGGAUUGAGGACCUACUCUCGACCGGUAAAACUGCAGUCAUGCUAAACGGAGUACCUGGUAGCUGGAUCCAGUGCAAAAAUGGUCUCCGACAGGGUGAUCCCAUCUCACCCUAUCUGUUCAUCAUCGUUGCAGAUGUUCUUCAACAGCUCAUCCUGUCUGCUGCCUCUGAUCAAGCAAACGAGCUUCACCAUCCGGUCUACCAUGACCUACCGCCCUCUAUUCUCCAAUACGCCGAUGACACGCUCAUCAUUGCCCAUGCUUCCACUAUGGCGGCCCGCAAGCUCAAGUAG
rnacentral:rRNA from 1 species